rnacentral:rRNA from 1 species
AGAGUUUGAUCCUGGCUCAGGACGAACGCUGGCGGCGUGCUUAAUACAUGCAAGUCGAGCGAGGUUACUGUUUUGGAUCCCUUCGGGGUGAAGAAGCUUUAACCUAGCGGCGGACGGGUGAGUAACGCGUGGGUAACCUACCCCAAAGUCCGGGAUAACAGCGGGAAACCGCUGCUAAUACCGGAUGUCUUUACCUUGGGGCAUCUUGAGGUAAAGAAAGGUAACGCUUUGGGAUGGGCCCGCGUCCCAUUAGCUAGUUGGUGAGGUAACGGCUCACCAAGGCGACGAUGGGUAGCCGGCCUGAGAGGGUGGACGGCCACACUGGGACUGAGACACGACCCAGACUCCUACGGGAGGCAGCAGUAGGGAAUAUUGCGCAAUGGACGGAAGUCCGACGCAGCGACGCCGCGUGAGCGAUGAAGGUCUUCGGAUCGUAAAGCUCUGUCCUUGGGGAAGAAGGCGAAAGCUUGACGGUACCCAAGAAGAAAGCCCCGGCUAACUACGUGCCAGCAGCCGCGGUAAUACGUAGGGGGCGAGCGUUGUCCGGAAUUACUGGGCGUAAAGGGUGCGUAGGCGGCCCUUUAAGUCGGAUGUGAAAGCCCGCGGCUUAACCGCGGAAUGGCAUUCGAAACUGGAGGGCUUGAGUGUCGGAGAGGGUAGUGGAAUUCCCAGUGUAGCGGUGAAAUGCGUAGAUAUUGGGAGGAACACCAGUGGCGAAGGCGACUACCUGGACGAUAACUGACGCUGAGGCACGAAAGCUAGGGGAGCAAACAGGAUUAGAUACCCUGGUAGUCCUAGCCGUAAACGAUGGGUACUAGGUGUGGGUGGUUUCGAUACCAUCCGUGCCGUAGUUAACGCAUUAAGUACCCCGCCUGGGGAGUACGUGCGCAAGCAUGAAACUCAAAGGAAUUGACGG